rnacentral:rRNA from 1 species
GACGAACGCUGGCGGCGUGCUUAACACAUGCAAGUCGAACGGAAAGGCCCUGCUUUUGUGGGGUGCUCGAGUGGCGAACGGGUGAGUAACACGUGAGUAACCUGCCCUUGACUUUGGGAUAACUUCAGGAAACUGGGGCCAAUACCGGAUAGGAGCUCCUGCUGCAUGGUGGGGGUUGGAAAGUUUCGGCGGUUGGGGAUGGACUCGCGGCUUAUCAGCUUGUUGGUGGGGUAAUGGCUUACCAAGGCUUUGACGGGUAGCCGGCCUGAGAGGGUGACCGGCCACAUUGGGACUGAGAUACGGCCCAGACUCCUACGGGAGGCAGCAGUGGGGAAUAUUGCACAAUGGGCGGAAGCCUGAUGCAGCAACGCCGCGUGCGGGAUGACGGCCUUCGGGUUGUAAACCGCUUUCGCCUGUGACGAAGCGUGAGUGACGGUAAUGGGUAAAGAAGCACCGGCUAACUACGUG